rnacentral:siRNA from 1 species
UUUUAGAGGUGACCAUUAGAGUAC